GGGCGGUUAGCUCAGACUGGUUAGAGCGCCUCGUUCACACCGAGGAGGCCGGAGGUUCAAGUCCUCCACUGCCCACCA
rnacentral:tRNA from 1 species